rnacentral:rRNA from 1 species
UGGGGAAUAUUGCACAAUGGGCGCAAGCCUGAUGCAGCCAUGCCGCGUGUGUGAAGAAGGCCUUCGGGUUGUAAAGCACUUUCAGCGGGGAGGAAGGCGUUAAGGUUAAUAACCUUGGCGAUUGACGUUACCCGCAGAAGAAGCACCGGCUAACUCCGUGCCAGCAGCCGCGGUAAUACGGAGGGUGCAAGCGUUAAUCGGAAUUACUGGGCGUAAAGCGCACGCAGGCGGUCUGUCAAGUCGGAUGUGAAAUCCCCGGGCUCAACCUGGGAACUGCAUUCGAAACUGGCAGGCUAGAGUCUUGUAGAGGGGGGUAGAAUGCCAGGUGUAGCGGUGAAAUGCGUAGAGAUCUGGAGGAAUACCGGUGGCGAAGGCGGCCCCCUGGACAAAGACUGACGCUCAGGUGCGAAAGCGUGGGGAGCAAACAAG